AGAAAUUUGGAUUAAUACCUCAUAGUAUAGUGAGUUGGCAUCAACACACUAUUAAAGUCACAACGGUAAAAGAUGAGCAUGCGUCCCAUUAGCUAGUUGGUAAGGUAACGGCUUACCAAGGCAACGAUGGGUAGGGGUCCUGAGAGGGAGAUCCCCCACACUGGUACUGAGACACGGACCAGACUCCUACGGGAGGCAGCAGUGAGGAAUAUUGGUCAAUGGGCGCAAGCCUGAACCAGCCAUGCCGCGUGCAGGAUGACGGUCCUAUGGAUUGUAAACUGCUUUUGCACAGGAAGAAACACUCGGUCGUGACCGAGCUUGACGGUACUGUGAGAAUAAGGAUCGGCUAACUCCGUGCCAGCAGCCGCGGUAAUACGGAGG
rnacentral:rRNA from 1 species